rnacentral:rRNA from 1 species
GCAACGCGAAGAACCUUACCAAGUCUUGACAUCCCUUCGAACAAUGCGUAAAAGUAUUAGCUCUUCGGAGCGAAGGAGACAGGUGGUGCAUGGUUGUCGUCAGCUCGUGUCGUGAGAUGUUGGGUCAAGUCCCGCAACGAGCGCAACCCUUAUGGUCAGUAGCCAGCAGGCAAAGCUGGGCACUCUGGCCAGACUGCCCGGGAUAACCGGGAGGAAGGUGGGGAUGACGUCAAAUCAUCAUGCCCCUUAUGAUUUGGGCAACACACGUGCUACAAUGGCGUAAACAAAGGGAAGCGAAGGAGCGAUCCGGAGCGAAACCCAAAAAUAACGUCCCAGUUCGGACUGUAGUCUGCAACCCGACUACACGAAGCUGGAAUUGCUAGUAAUCGCGAAUCAGCAUGUCGCGGUGAAUACGUUCCCGGGUCUUGUACACACCGCCCGUCACACCAUGGGAGUCAGUAACGCCCGAAAUCGGUGACCUAACCGCAAGGAAGGAGCCGCUGAAGGCGGGACGGAUAACUGGGGUGAAGUCGUAACAAGGUAGCCGUAUCGGAAGGUGCGGCUGGAUCACCUCCUU